rnacentral:lncRNA from 1 species
GACAUGGAGAUACAGGCAUAGGCAGAGGCAUGGACUUGGAAGGGGUUUCAAAGAGGCAGUAUGGUGAAACAGGAGGAGCCCUGCCUGGCUGGUCUCCCUUCAAUGUCACUCCGCAGAACUCCAAGGUAUGGCCACUUUGUUUAAGCCACUUGCAUCAAUGCCCUGUCCUCCAACAGUGUGAUACGAUGACCAGCAAAGCGACCCUUGGUGUCAUAAAUCAGACGGAAAUUCUCUCCAGUCUUGUCAAUGCUGAUGACAUCCAUAAAUCCAGCAGGGUCCUCCCGCUUGGCUUAGCUACAUUAGCAGUCUACAUCGAUUCAAUUGGCAGGUGAUUCAUCAGGCCAGCAUUUCAUCUUCCCUGCGAAGCCAAAACGUGCCCCAUUUCUUGGUGCUACAAGGGGGAACAGACGAACAUUCCUUUGAUGCUACAAGGACACACCAGACUGAUAAAAUUUGCUCCUGCAUUGAACUUGACAUGGAGGUGGAGUGCUUUAACUUUUAAAAGUCUGCUCUGUAACUCUCAGAAUAACUGAUGACCCUCAUUGAUAUUCACACUUCAAAUGCAGAUAAAUCUUCUUAGUUUUUUUUUUUUUUUUUGCUUUGAUUCUAGGUUCAAACUCUUCACCUUCUAUACACACAUACUCUGUUAUCUCAAGCUGACAAAAUCUUUCCACCUGCUGAGUCACUCACUCUGUCCAGCUAUUAUUCAUCUAUCUAUCCAACACAGUGGGAUGGCAAAACAGUGUCAUUUAAACCAAAGUCAUCUGCGGUUCAUCCACACCCUAGAAAGUGGGAUGAUUUAUAACUGGAGAGGAGAUUAUUGGAAAGUAGCAUGGUCCCCCCGCCAUCCUUUACUGGGGUGAGCCAAACAAAAUGAGAAAGAGAUAAGACAUAAGAAAAUGAGAAGAACCUGGAGUUUUCAAAGGCACGUGAGGAACUAAGGAAGGAGUGGUAGCAAGGCCAAUUCAUAGAGAACUGAUUUGUGUAGCAGCACAAGGCCCUGAUUUAAGACGUGCCCCAUGCUUAAUUCAAUGUUCUGCUGUUGCCAUCUUGAAAUCCUUAAUAAUUUUUGAACCAAGGACCUGCAUUUUUAUAUUGCACUGGACCCUAAAAUUAUGUAGCUAGUCGUUGGUAGCAGCACUCCAUUCUCUUAAAUUUAGCCAAAGUCUCGUUUUAAAUAUGGUGAAGUAUUGCCAGACAAAUUUCUUACACCUACUUCAAGGUGUGAACCAAUGUACCAAAUGUGCACAGCCACUUAAUAGCAGCAAUGAAACUUGUAUCCCAUAGUGCUAUAUUUCUAGCCCCCAGGGCUGUUUUAUUUCAUAAGGCUUGAGGGGUAUUUACAAAAUUUGCAUUUAUUUAAUUAGACCGACACUCCUAUUUUUUUUUUUCUUUUAUGAAUAUGUCUUAUGGUUUUUCUAGGAAACUGAUUUUCAUAAUGAGCAUUGUCAGGGCAUAGACUAACGUAACACAGACUACCUUAAACCUAACUCUUAUUUAUUUACCUUUUGAAAGCUGAAUGUUCCCUGGGGCUCAAUAUGAAGGAAGCUUUGUUAGGCAAAGUUGGAGUAGCCUUUUGGAAAACAGCUGUUCCUACACAUCUCUAUGACUUAUAGGCUGAGAAGGUCGGUCUUUAAAUAUAAAGUUCAAAAUACCAGAUAUUUCUUCACUGGCCUACCUUAAAGCUAGGCACAGACAUUGAUCAAAUACUGGUUAAUGGGAGCUGAGGGGAAAGGACUGUUUGGGACUAUGAAGAAAAGUUUUCUUUGGUGAUAAUGAGAAUAAAAAGGCAUCCACGUUGUCUGCCUUUGGGUACUGGCACGAUGCAUGGAGCUACAGCAGCCUUCUGGGUGGCAAUAAGGGAAAUGCCAUGAAAAUGGAAAAGAGGAAAGAUAGAAAGCACACGAGACAUUGAUGGAACCAUUUUGUUAUUGAGUUAGCCAAAUUAAAACUACUUACCUCUAGGAUUUUUGUUUAUUUAAACCAGUGCUUCUCAUUGUGAGUGAUUCCUGGACCAACAACAUCUAGAAACACCUAGAAAUUUGUUAGAAAACAGAAUGUCGGGGGUCCUGUCUUAGAUUACUGAAUAAAAAAUUAUCA